AGGAUGAACGCUAGCGACAGGCUUAACACAUGCAAGUCGAGGGGCAGCGGGGUUGUAGCAAUACAACUGCCGGCGACCGGCGCACGGGUGAGUAACACGUAUGUAACCUGCCCUCUGCAGGGGGAUAAGCGGAAGAAAUUCCGUCUAAUACCGCAUAAUACAAUUUGGAGACAUCUCCGGGUUGUCAAAGGAGUGAUCCGGCAGAGGAUGGACAUGCGGCGCAUUAGCUAGUCGGCGGGGUAACGGCCCACCGAGGCUACGAUGCGUAGGGGUUCUGAGAGGAAGGUCCCCCACACUGGUACUGAGACACGGACCAGACUCCUACGGGAGGCAGCAGUGAGGAAUAUUGGUCAAUGGGCGGAAGCCUGAACCAGCCAAGUCGCGUGAGGGAAGACGGUCCUAUGGAUUGUAAACCUCUUUUGCAGGGGAGCAAGGCGCGGUACGUGUACCGCGAAGGAGAGUACCCUGAGAAAAAGCAUCGGCUAACUCCGUGCCAGCAGCCGCGGUAAUACGGAGGAUGCGAGCGUUAUCCGGAUUUAUUGGGUUUAAAGGGUGCGCAGGCGGACUGUUAAGUCAGCGGUAAAAUGUCGGUGCUCAACACCGGCCGGCCGUUGAAACUGGCAGCCUUGAGUGAGCGAGAAGUAUGCGGAAUGCGUGGUGUAGCGGUGAAAUGCAUAGAUAUCACGCAGAACUCCGAUUGCGAAGGCAGCAUACCGGCGCUCAACUGACGCUCAGGCACGAAAGCGUGGGUAUCGAACAGGCUUAGAUACCCUGGUAGUCCACGCAGUAA
rnacentral:rRNA from 1 species